UACGAAGGGGGCUAGCGUUGCUCGGAAUUACUGGGCGUAAAGGGCGCGUAGGCGGCACUGUUAGUCAGGCGUGAAAUUCCUGGGCUCAACCUGGGGACUGCGCUUGAUACGGCAGAGCUUGAGGAUGGAAGAGGGUCGCGGAAUUCCCAGUGUAGAGGUGAAAUUCGUAGAUAUUGGGAAGAACACCGGUGGCGAAGGCGGCAUCCUGGACCGAGAUUGACGCUGAGGCGCGAAAGCCAGGGGAGCAAACGGG
rnacentral:rRNA from 1 species